AUGCAGUCGAACGGUGAAGCCCAGCUUGCUGGGUGGAUCAGUGGCGAACGGGUGAGUAACACGUGAGCAAUCUGCCCCUGACUCUGGGAUAAGCGCUGGAAACGGCGUCUAAUACCGGAUAUGAGCUGCGACCGCAUGGUCAGUAGUUGGAAAGAUUUUUCGGUCAGGGAUGAGCUCGCGGCCUAUCAGCUUGUUGGUGAGGUAAUGGCUCACCAAGGCGUCGACGGGUAGCCGGCCUGAGAGGGUGACCGGCCACACUGGGACUGAGACACGGCCCAGACUCCUACGGGAGGCAGCAGUGGGGAAUAUUGCACAAUGGGCGGAAGCCUGAUGCAGCAACGCCGCGUGAGGGAUGACGGCCUUCGGGUUGUAAACCUCUUUUAGCAGGGAAGAAGCGARAGUGACGGUACCUGCAGAAAAAGCGCCGGCUAACUACGUGCCAGCAGCCGCGGUAAUACGUAGGGCGCAAGCGUUAUCCGGAAUUAUUGGGCGUAAAGAGCUCGUAGGCGGUCUGUCGCGUCUGCUGUGAAAUCCCGAGGCUCAACCUCGGGUCUGCAGUGGGUACGGGCAGACUAGAGUGCGGUAGGGGAGAUUGGAAUUCCUGGUGUAGCGGUGGAAUGCGCAGAUAUCAGGAGGAACACCGAUGGCGAAGGCAGAUCUCURGGCCGUAACUGACGCUGAGGAGCGAAAGGGUGGGGAGCAAACAGGCUUAGAUACCCUGGUAGUCCACCCCGUAAACGUUGGGAACUAGUUGUGGGGUCCAUUCCACGGAUUCCGUGACGCAGCUAACGCAUUAAGUUCCCCGCCUGGGGAGUACGGCCGCAAGGCUAAAACUCAAAGGAAUUGACGGGGACCCGCACAAGCGGCGGAGCAUGCGGAUUAAUUCGAUGCAACGCGAAGAACCUUACCAAGGCUUGACAUAUACGAGAACGGGCUAGAAAUAGUCA
rnacentral:rRNA from 1 species